GACGAACGCUGGCGGCGUGCCUAAUACAUGCACGUAGGACGCAGUUGCGAACGGGUGAGUAACGCGUAGGUAACUACCUAUUAGAGGGGGAUAACUAUUGGAAACGAUAGCUAAUACCGCAUACUAGUAGAUGGACCUGCGUUGUAUUAGCUUGUAGGUCGGGUAAUGGCCUACCUAGGCAACGAGACAUAGCCGACCUGAGAGGGUGGUGGGCCAGACGGGGACUGAGACAGUGGGCAGACUCCUACGGGAGGCAGCAGUAGGAAUUGGUCGGCAAUGGGGGGAAUCCUGACCGAGCAGCGGCGCGGGAGUGAAGAAGGUUUUCGGAUCGUAAGGGUCGGUAGUUAAGGAAGCGGUAGUUAACCAGAAAGGGGCGGCUAACUACGUGCCAGCCGCCGCGGUAAUAC
rnacentral:rRNA from 1 species